AGAUUGAACGCUGGCGGCAGGCCUAACACAUGCAAGUCGAGCGGCAGCACGGGUACUUGUACCUGGUGGCGAGCGGCGGACGGGUGAGUAGUGCCUAGGAAUCUGCCUGAUAGUGGGGGAUAACGCUCGGAAACGGACGCUAAUACCGCAUACGUCCUACGGGAGAAAGCAGGGGACCUUCGGGCCUUGCGCUAUCAGAUGAGCCUAGGUCGGAUUAGCUAGUUGGUGGGGUAAUGGCUCACCAAGGCGACGAUCCGUAACUGGUCUGAGAGGAUGAUCAGUCACACUGGAACUGAGACACGGUCCAGACUCCUACGGGAGCAGCAGUGGGGAAUAUUGGACAAGUGGGACGAAAGCCGUAGAUCCAGCCAGUCGCGCGUGUGUGAAGAGUCUCGGAUUAGUAAGCUACUUUAAGUGGAAGGAGG
rnacentral:rRNA from 1 species